rnacentral:rRNA from 1 species
AACGAACGCUGGCGGCAGGCCUAACACAUGCAAGUCGAACGAGACCUUCGGGUUUAGUCGCGCACGGGUGCGUAGCGCGGGGGAACCUGCCCUUAGGUUCGGAAUAACUCCCCGAAAGGGGUGCUAAUACGGGAGAAUGUCUUCGGACCAAAGUUUUAGUGCCUUUGGAUGGGCGCGCGUUGGAUUAGCUAGAUGUUAGGGUAAAAGCCUCCCAAGGCGACGAUACAUAGCUGGUCAGUGAGGCUGGUCCGCGACACUGGGAGUGAGACACGGCCCAGAAUAUUACGGGAGGGAGGAGAGGGGAAUAUUGGAAAGUGGGGGAAGGGAUGAACCUGCAAUGAUGGGUGAGUGAUGAAGGUCUUAGGGUUGUAAAGCUCUUUUACACGGGAUGGUAAUGACAGUACCGGGAGAAUAAGCUCCGGCUAACUCCGUG